rnacentral:rRNA from 1 species
CCAAUAGCGUAUAUUAAAGUUGUUGCAGUUAAAAAGCUCGUAGUUGAACCUUAGGCCCGUGCGGGUGGUCCGUCCUCUGGGCGAGCACUGCCUCGUCGCGGGUCUCACCUUCUGGCGAGCGUGGAUGCCAUUCACUUGGUGUCCGCGGGAACCAGGACCUUUACCUUGAAAAAAUUAGAGUGCUCAAAGCGGGCUCGUACGCUUGAAUACAUUAGCAUGGAAUAAUGAAAUAGGACGACGGUUCUAUUUUGUUGGUUUCCGGGACAGUCGUAAUGAUUAAUAGGGAUAGUUGGGGGCAUUCGUAUUCAAUUGUCAGAGGUGAAAUUCUUGGAUUUAUUGAAGACGGACUACUGCGAAAGCAUUUGCCAAGGAUGUUUUCAUUAAUCAAGAACGAAAGUUGGGGGAUCGAAGACGAUCAGAUACCGUCGUAGUCUCAACCAUAAACUAUGCCGACUGGGAAUCGGGCGAUGUUAUUUUUCGUGACUCGCUCGGCGCCCCGAG